rnacentral:rRNA from 1 species
CGGAGGAGAUUUGAGAGGGGCUGCUCCUAGUACGAGAGGACCGGAGUGGACGAACCUCUGGUGUUCCGGUUGUCACGCCAGUGGCAUUGCCGGGUAGCUAUGUUCGGAAGAGAUAACCGCUGAAAGCAUCUAAGCGGGAAACUUGCCUCAAGAUGAGAUCUCACUGGGAUCUUGAAUCCCCUAAAGGGCCGUCGAAGACUACGACGUUGAUAGGUUGGGUGUGUAAGCGCUGUGAGGCGUUGAGCUAACC